rnacentral:misc_RNA from 1 species
AGGAAAUAAUUGAUCAUCUUCAGUUUUGAAAGACUAAGUAAAGUUUUUCUUUUGGGUUUUGGGGUAGACAGGGGCCUAUAGCUCAGUUGGUUAGAGCACACGCCUGAUAAGCGUGAGGUCGGUGGUUCAAGUCCACUUAGGCCCACCAAAAGAUGCUACCGCAAAAUAAAGUUCUUUGAAAAGUAGAUAAACAAGGUUCAGUAGAGAAAA